GCUGGGCGUAGUGGUGCAUGCCUAUAGUCCUGGCUUCUUGGGAGGCUGAGGCUGGGGGCAUCACUUGAGCCCGAGAGUUCUGAGCUGUAGUGCGCUCUGCUGAUUGGGUGUCUGCACUAAGUUCGGCAUCAUGUGAUGAACUCCCAGGAGCGGGGGACCAACGAAGCUUCCUAAGGAGAAGUGAACCGGUUCAGGUCGGAAACAGAGCAGGUCAAAACUCCCAUGCUGAUCAGUAGUGGAAUCACACAUGUGAAUAGCCCCAGCACUCCUGCCUGGGCAACAAAGUGAGACCUUGUCUCUU
ensembl:misc_RNA Metazoa_SRP Metazoan signal recognition particle RNA